rnacentral:rRNA from 1 species
AUUGAACGCUGGCGGAGUGCUUUACACAUGCAAGUCGAUCGGCAGCACGGACUUCGGUCUGGUGGCGAGUGGCGAACGGGUGAGUAAUGUAUCGGAACGUGCCCAGUCGUGGGGGAUAACGUAGUGAAAAUUACGCUAUACCGCAUACGAUCUAUGGAUGAAAGCGGGGGAUCGCAAGACCUCGCGCGAUUGGAGCGGCCGAUAUCAGAUUAGGUAGUUGGUGGGGUAAAGGCCCACCAAGCCAACGAUCUGUAGCUGGUCUGAGAGGACGACCAGCCACACUGGAACUGAGACACGGUCCAGACUCCUACGGGAGGCAGCAGUGGGGAAUUUUGGACAAUGGGCGAAAGCCUGAUCCAGCCAUUCCGCGUGCAGGAUGAAGGCCCUCGGGUUGUAAACUGCUUUUGUACAGAACGAAGAGGUUUCUACUAAUACUAGGAGCUCAUGACGGUACUGUAAGAAUAAGCACCGGCUAACUACGUGCCAGCCGCCGCCGUAA